rnacentral:rRNA from 1 species
GACGAACGCUGGCGGCGUGCCUAAUACAUGCAAGUAGAACGCUGAAGGAGGAGCUUGCUUCUCCGGAUGAGUUGCGAACGGGUGAGUAACGCGUAGGUAACCUGCCUGGUAGCGGGGGAUAACUAUUGGAAACGAUAGCUAAUACCGCAUAACAGUAGAUGUUGCAUGACAUUUGCUUAAAAGGUGCAAUUGCAUCACUACCAGAUGGACCUGCGUUGUAUUAGCUAGUUGGUGAGGUAACGGCUCACCAAGGCGACGAUACAUAGCCGACCUGAGAGGGUGAUCGGCCACACUGGGACUGAGACACGGCCCAGACUCCUACGGGAGGCAGCAGUAGGGAAUCUUCGGCAAUGGACGGAAGUCUGACCGAGCAACGCCGCGUGAGUGAAGAAGGUUUUCGGAUCGUAAAGCUCUGUUGUAAGAGAAGAACGAGUGUGAGAGUGGAAAGUUCACACUGUGACGGUAUCUUACCAGAAAGGGGCGGCUAACUACGUG